CAGCGCUAUGUAAAAGUGCUGCCUAAAGGGUGGGCUUACGCAGCGCUUUUCACCAAUGGAUUUUUAUAUUUUUUCAUUUUUCAUUUUCUUUUCAAUCUAACGCAAAACUCUCUCUCUUAUCUCGAUAAUCUCUCGUCUUCUUCCUAUCAUUUUCUUCUCCGCCGCUAUCAACAACAAUCCUAACCCUAAAUCAUGCUCACGCCCAGAAUCGACCAAGACCCACAUGCAAUCUCGCAUCGUUUUUGUUGGUCUUUCAUCGUUUCUAACUACACAACGAGAAGUGGUACCCUAAAACCAAGCCACACUGUUGAAGCCAAACAGUCAUCGCAGAAGUUGCUUGCAAAGAUGAAGGUCGUCACCUAUGGUUAAUAUCAUUCUAGCGAAGUUGGAUUUGACCCAGCAACUAUUGUUAUUCGGUUAAUAAAUCAAAAUAGAGAAUUCAAUCGCGGCCGAUGAUUUCGUCGAUGAGCUCAAUUUCGAUUUCGAUUGAAGCUUCAGGGCAGUGGAUGGCUUCAGAAAGUUGCAGAUGCUUUGUCUAAGUUAGAACAGUCUCCUCAGCCGGAAGUAGCCAAGGGUGUACAAGCUUCAAAGAAACGAGAUGUUGCUUUGAAGCCGUUGAUUGAUGCUUUGGUUUAUGGUGGUUUGCUUUGUCAUGAGGAUAAGGAUGUCAAACUUGUGGUUGCCAUUUGCGUCAUUGAAUUACUUAGAGUCAUGGCUUCUGAACCCCCUUUUGAAGACAGGCAUUUAAGGGAUGUAUUUAAACUCAUCAUUGGUUUGUUUGCGGAUCUAGCUGAUACUUCAAGUCCAUUAUUGUGGUACACUUAUGGUCUUUCAAAUAGUAUGGUUGUAUUGUAUGUGGAUUCCUGUUGUGGAUAUCUUUUGACUUUAAUUUACUUGCAUCUUUUUGUAUAGCUCUUUGUAGCUUGAAUGUAGAGAACUGCAGUAUCACAUCCAGAACCAUUCAAAAAAUUGCUGAUGCAUUGGACUCUAAAUCUGUACUUUCACACCUUUGUAUAGGUAUGAUAAUGAUAGGAAUGGAUUGGACCCCACAAGUGAUGAUGGGGAUGUGUUAGUUAAUAGAGACAUUGUUGGGCCUAAACAAUGGAGGGUGUAUGUGAGAAAGAAUAAGAAAGUGAAUUAAUUGGGUAAUUGGCCCAAUUAAUUAGUAUUCUCCAAAUAAUUAGGAGUUGGCUCAAUUAGUUAGAUUUUAUUCCGCAAAUAAUUAGGAGUGGCUUAGUAUGUUAGUUUUUAUCAUCCAAAUAAAUAGGAGUUAGUUCAGUUAGUAUUCCCCAUAUAAAUAGGAGUGUAUGGGGCAGUAGUUAGUAGGAUUAUUAUUUUCUGUUUUCUUCAUUAGGGUUUAGGCAGUGAGAGAAUUAUUUCUCUGACUGAGGAGCAGCAGCUCUGGAAUUCUGUUCUGUUUUCAUAUUCAGUAAUAAAAUAACUUUCUCCAUUACCUCUGUUCUAUCAGAUAACCUACAGCUCUUUUUAAUUCCCUGAUACAUGUAAUAUUUCUUGCAUAAUGGGUAGUUUACUUUUGACAGGACACAACAACCCUGUAUCUGGGAAUGCUUUAGUUAAUCUUCUAUCCAAGCUUUCUACUUUAAAAAGGUUUUCGGAGUUGAAUAUGAGUGGUCUAAAACUAGGCAAACCGGUAGUCAAUAGCCUUUGCCAGCUCACAGGGACCUUGACUUUAUCAGGACUAAUACUUGGAGGCACUGGUAUUGGAAACGAUGCAACUUAUGCUUCUUAUCAACUUGCUGCAUCAGUAAUCCGAAAUUCUGCUCAGGAUGAUGAGCUGAACCUCAUAAUUUGCAGCUUUUUAUCUUCUUGUAUAUAUGACAGAGAUGCCGUGGGCAGCGGGCUCAAAGAAUUUUAUCAUGGAAUCAUCUUUCAAGUUUUUCAGUGUGCGCCUCAAAUGCUACACGCUGGAUUCAAUUGGCCGAAAUCAGUUUUUGACACGUUUAUUCUGUUCCUUUUCUCCUAAUAUAUUGAUAUUCUUAUUCUAACAUUUUUAUUAUAUUUACAAUCAAUUUUGUAGGCUGAUCAGGUUGAUGUUCGGUUAAAAGCUGUUAAUUUGGUGGGGAAACUUUUUGCACUUCCUGAACACCGUGUUGCAUAGAAGUUUCAUGAUCUUUUUCUGGAGUUUCUGAAAAGAUUUUCUGAUAAGUCUGUGGAUAUACGAAUUAGUGCUCUACAAUGUGCCAAAGCUUUCUAUGCGGCAGAUCCUUUUGGGAGAGAAUCACUUGAAAUUAUCAGCUGCAGAAUGAGAUGAAAAACUAUUUGGCUUUACAGAAGAAAUUAAAGGUAAAAGGCAAGGAAAAACUAUCUGGCCCUUUUCUAAAAACAGACAUUAAAUAAUUCUUCAAUAUUAUGCAACAACUUCGUUGUGGUGUGAGGAUACUUUGAUGUACCCUUAUCUUAUGAAGAAGGCAUUUGAAUACUCUCAAGAAUGAACAACUUGUCUUAGCUCUUAGGAAGAAUUCACCAUGAAAAUGCUUGUAAUUGUUAACAUAACUUAGGUUUUUUUAAAAUUGAAUCCUCUUGUAUAGAAUCCAUGUUGACAUAACUUAGGUUAUGAGAUUUUGUAUGAGUUAUUGUUCUCGGUAUUCUCUUAGUGUAUGGAUUGAAUAUGUAUAUUGAUGUUGUUGUUUCAAAUUUUA